AUGCGAUGAGCCGUCUGUGGCUUGGCCACAUAUGCGCUAGGGAGGUCAAUAACGCAAGGAGCGGACCUUGGUAAGUUGUGUGAACCUGCUUAUCACAUACGACAGUAUGCCCUUUCCCUAUCUGAUGAUAGGGAUUUUUU
rnacentral:sRNA from 1 species